rnacentral:rRNA from 1 species
UAAUACGGAGGGUGCGAGCGUUAAUCGGAAUUACUGGGCGUAAAGCGUGCGUAGGCGGUUUGGUCAGUCAGCCGUGAAAGCCCCGGGCUUAACCUGGGAAUGGCGGUUGAGACGGCUGGACUUGAGUGGGCUAGAGGAUCGUGGAAUUCCGGGUGUAGCGGUGAAAUGCGUAGAGAUCCGGAGGAACACCGAUGGCGAAGGCAGCGGUCUGGGGCCACACUGACGCUGAGGCACGACAGCGUGGGGAGCAAACAGG